UACGUAGGGUGCGAGCGUUAAUCGGAAUUACUGGGCGUAAAGCGUGCGCAGGCGGUUCGUUGUGUCGGCGGUGAAAGCCCCGGGCUUAACCUGGGAAUGGCCGUUGAAACUGGCGAACUGGAGUGUGGCAGAGGGGGGUGGAAUUCCGCGUGUAGCAGUGAAAUGCGUAGAUAUGCGGAGGAACACCGAUGGCGAAGGCAAUCCCUGGACCUGUACUGACGCUCAUGCACGAAAGCGUGGGAGCAACAGG
rnacentral:rRNA from 1 species